AUACAAUCAUAGAAUCUUAGUCUUUGCAGAAACCUCUGAGAGACUCUAUUCUAUUCAUCCACCCAAAGGAGGAAUUCAUACUCAAAUAUCCCUGACAAAUGACCCAUUGACAAUUCUGAGACUUUCCUGGCUCAGCAAUCUACAGAUCAUUCAUCAGCAUGUAAAUGUCUUCCCAGCAGUAACCUUGGCAUUCCCAGAACAACAUACUCUCCUUCUUAUCCCUGGUCCAUCAGGGCCAUUUAAAAAAUUGCAAACUCUAGACUUAAAGUAUUCAGCACAUAGGAGAGACUCAAAAUAGAGGAGGAGAGAAGGAUUAAUGUGCUAAUAAUACUUGGGAUGUGCAAGCCCAGAGCUGUGAAAGUGAGGGGAAAAAGAGAAGUGAAGCACCAGAUCACGUGAUGUACUGCAGAUCUGGUACUUGGUAUAGUCCCUGCUUGCAAGAUAAAUAAAUGAAAGAAUCAAAGAAUACACACGUAAGCAAUAUCAAGUGCUAUCCAAACUUCUGCGUUCAGAGAAACCUUGAAUCAGGGAAUAUCUAUAAAUAGAAACUGGGAGAGUAGUGUUCCACAAAACUCACUUUGAGAAACGCUAGGCUAGAUGAAGUUACAACAGAGAAGUAGUAACUGGUUUUGACUAUUCUUCAAGUCUUCUCUCAAACACUCUGCACCAAAGAAGCCAGCCCACAUUUCUCAUUUGUUUGUGUAUCUGUAAAAUGUUGAACUUCUAUUAAAACUGUCAUCAAAAUA
rnacentral:lncRNA from 1 species